GACGUAGGGCGCAAGCGUUGUCCGGAUUUAUUGGGCGUAAAGAGCUCGUAGGCGGCUUGUUGCGUCGGCUGUGAAAACCCGCGGCUUAACUGUGGGCUUGCAGCCGAUACGGGCGGGCUGGAGUUCGGUAGGGGAGAGUGGAAUUCCUGGUGUAGCGGUGAAAUGCGCAGAUAUCAGGAAGAACACCCGUGGCGUAAGGCGGCUCUCUGGACGGUACUGACGCUGAGACGCGAAAGCGUGGGGAGCGAACAGG
rnacentral:rRNA from 1 species